rnacentral:rRNA from 1 species
GGAAUAUUGCACAAUGGAGGGAACUCUGAUGCAGCGACGCCGCGUGAGUGAAGAAGUAAUUCGUUAUGUAAAGCUCUAUCAGCAGGGAAGAAAGUGACGGUACCUGAAAAAGAAGCCCCGGCUAAAUACGUGCCAGCAGCCGCGGUAAUACGUAUGGAGCAAGCGUUAUCCGGAAUUACUGGGUGUAAAGGGAGCGUAGACGGUGAUGUAAGUCUGGAGUGAAAGGCGGGGGCCCAACCCCCGGACUGCUCUGGAAACUAUGUGACUGGAGUGCAGGAGAGGUGAGCGGAAUUCCUAGUGUAGCGGUGAAAUGCGUAGAUAUUAGGAGGAACACCAGUGGCGAAGGCGGCUCACUGGACUGUAACUGACGUUGAGGCUCGAAAGCGUGGGGAGCAAACAG